GACACGGCGGCAAAUUCAAAGUCUACGGGGAUUUAACAUGGUAAACUCGUCCAUUAGCGUCAAGAUCACGGGGCAGGAAACCAGUUUAUCGAGGGAGUAGUCGUUCUUUCCAAAUUAAAAUUACAAAAAAUCCUAAAAAUUCAACGAAAGCAAUUCAGUGUGUUUUGGUAAAAAAUAUAAGUAUUGUUUUGCAUUCAAAUAUAUUUGACGAGUUUUCUCAUAAACUGAGAGAAAAUAAUCCGAAUUCAAUGCAGUACAAGUUGUGGAUAACGCACUGCUCUAGAAAGGGGAUGUUGACAUGAUGUGUAAUUUACAGCUUCCUUCGAUGAAAACGUUAAAAAAAUUGGAGUACAUUGUUAUGAUGACCAGACUCGAAGGCAUUCAUGUAAUUGGGUGAAUCACAGAGUCUCAGGAAUCUUCUGGACUAACCAAAAGUGAUGACUGAAACAAAUAUUAACUGGUAGUCUACUUAGUGAUCUGGACACUGGAUAAGCCAGAAACCAUUUUCAACAGAACUGUUAAGAGUGUAAAUAAUAAUAAAAAAAAAAAAACAAGAUACCCACUCUCCAACUCAUUCAUAGCUUCAUUCUUGGCUUCAUUGUGUUGAAUAUGAGUCAAGACUUUUCUAUUGUACCAAGGCUGAAGGGACUUUAAAACCAUAAACAACAUCACCACAGAGCAGUUGACUUUCAUUUCUUCUUCUGAAUUUGUAUGUUAUACCCUUAAUUAUUACAGUGUGAAUUUACUUUGCACAGAAGAAGAUGUAAAUUAGCAUAACUUCAACAAGUAUUUACUUUGUCAGUUUCAGACACAUAACUCAAUUAUUUUGGUAUUUUAAAAAAAAGUAAUUGGCAGCAUUUACUGUGGAAUCAUCAUUGUUCUUGGGGGAGGAUAGGUGGGUCAAACAUAUCCACUAAUUUAUAUUCCCACAAAUACUUAUUUUUUCAACUUGUCAAUUCAUUGAAUCUUUAACUUAAUGUAUUUUAAAGUUAACCUUAUGAAAUAUGUCUGCACAAACCAGUUGAAUUAAAUGCCUGCCCACUAACAGCUGAUUAAUCCCCCCCCCCAUAAAAAUGAUUCCACAGUUUUUCAAUUUUCAAAAACUAUAGAGGGCCAUAUACAUGUAUCUGCAGGUACUUUGGGUGGUUUAAUCAUCUUUGCUUGUGCUGGUCUGUCUGAUGUCUUCAUCAGCUAGCUAUUCUGUAUCCUACAAUUAAAUUCUUGUUUCCAAAUAAAACAGCUGUAAAAUG